CAAGUCGUAACAAGGUUUCCGUAGGUGAACCUGCGGAAGGAUCAUUACUGAAUUGUCAACACGAGUUGUUGCUGGUCCUCAUAUGGGGGCAUGUGCACGCUCUGUUCACACAUCCACUCACACCUGUGCACCCUCUGUGGUUCUGUGGCUUGGGGGACACCGUCCUUCUCGCCGUGGUUCUGCAUCUUUACACACACACUGUAAUGAAGUCUUAUGGGAUGUAUGCCGCGUGUAACGCAAUACAAUACAACUUUCAGCAACGGAUCUCUUGGCUCUCGCAUCGAUGAAGAACGCAGCGAAAUGCGAUAAGUAAUGUGAAUUGCAGAAUUCAGUGAAUCAUCAAAUCUUUGAACGCACCUUGCGCCCUUUGGUUAUUCCGGAGGGCAUGCCUGUUUGAGUAUCAUGAACACCUCAACUCCCAUGGUUCGCCAUGGUAGCUUGGAUUUUGGAGGUUUUGCUGGCUCUCAGUCAGCUCCUCUCAAAUUGAUCAGCUUGCCAGUGUCUGGUGGUUCACAGGUGUGAUAAAUAUCUACGCCUGCGGUUUUCCACCAGGUAACCUUCAGUGAUGGAGGUUCGCUGGGGCUUAUAGAUGUCCCCCCAGUGAGGACAACUCUUUGAAUGUUUGAUCUCAAAUCAGGUAGGACUACCCGCUGAACUUAA
rnacentral:sRNA from 1 species